rnacentral:rRNA from 1 species
GGGGGGGGGGGGGGGGGGGCGGGGGGGGGGGGGGGCGGGGGGGAGCGUCGGGGGUGGGGGCGGACGGGUGCGUGGCGCGGGGGAAUGUACCCUCAGGUUCGGAAUCACUCGGAGCGCUUUGAGCUAAUACCGGCUGGUGACGUACGUCCAAAGAUUUAUCGCCUGAGGAUGAGCCCGCGUAGGAUUAGGUAGUUGGUGAGGUACAGGCUCACCAAGCCGACGAUCCUUAGCUGGUCUGAGAGGAUGAUCAGCCACACUGGGACUGAGACACGGCCCAGACUCCUACGGGAGGCAGCAGUGGGGAAUAUUGGACAAUGGGCGAAAGCCUGAUCCAGCAAUGCCGCGUGAGUGAUGAAGGCCUUAGGGUUGUAAAGCUCUUUUACCCGGGAUGAUAAUGACAGUACCGGGAGAAUAAGCUCCGGCUAACUCCGUG